AGGGUGACUUAGCGGCGGACGGGUGAGUAACGCGUGGGCAACCUGCCUUACACAGGGGGAUAACAAUUAGAAAUGAUUGCUAAUACCGCAUAAGACCCCAGUACCGCAUGGUACAGGGGUAAAAACUGAGGUGGUGUAAGAUGGGCCCGCGUCUGAUUAGGUAGUUGGUGGGGUAGAAGCCUACCAAGCCGACGAUCAGUAGCCGACCUGAGAGGGCGACCGGCCACAUUGGGACUGAGACACGGCCCAAACUCCUACGGGAGGCAGCAG
rnacentral:rRNA from 1 species